AGCGAGAAGUGAAUCUAUUUAAAGUUUUAUAUCCUUGUUUUCUGUUGUUGCUCUUUGUAUACAAUUUAGAAAGAACAGAAAUAUGUACAUAUUUUUAGGUACAUGUAUAUGGGCUCAAAAUCAAUAUAUAAUUUUUAAUCUUUUUUGUACAUUUAAAUAAUAUGCAGUUUGUUAUUAGAAACCUUUUUCAAGGUUUUAAGUGAUUUCACAAUUCUAAUGUAGUUAAAAUCCAGUAUAUAUUAGUUUCAGGUGUCUAAAAGAGUGAUUCAGGGGAUCCCUGGGUGGCUCAGCGGUUUAGCACCUGCCUUCAGCCCAGGGCGGAGUCCCGGGAUCGAGUCUAACAUCAAGCUCCCUGCAUGGAGCCUGCUUCUCCCUCUGCCGGUGUCUCUGCCUCUCUUUCUCUCUUUCUGUGUAGAGACAUGAAUAAAUAAAAUCUUAAAAAAAAAAGGGUGAUUCAAUAAUUCUAUGUAUUACUCAGUGGUCAUCAUGAUAAGUGUAUUCUUACAUCAUUCGUGAUGCCUGUAUAAAAUCAAUGAAUGCACCCAAUAUAUUGAUAUUUAUAAAGUUAAACAUUUAGGUAGUUUCAAUUUUUAAAAUUUUAGGUGGAAAGAUUAUGUUUUAUUAACUUUCAAUUACGUAGAUUUCCAAAAGUACUUUUUCUGGUCAACGAACUUACAUAUUCAAAGCAAGCAUUACAAAAUAUGUUUUGUCUGCUUAUUUUCCAAAAGAAUAGCAAUAUUUAUUUCUACUACCAUUAUAUGAGACUGUUAUCUCUCUAUACUUUAUAAAGAUCAAUCAAUAACAAUAGUUUUAAAUUUUAAUUAAUUAGAAAAAUAUUAUCUUAUUCUGAUUUUGAUUUGCAUCUUUUAUUUCCAAAGUGUUUGGUUGCGAUUUCAUUGUUUAUUUGCCUUCAAGAAUAGAUAAUGCAAAUGUCAGUUAGACCUUCCACCUGUUAGCUCUUUCCUGGCUUCCACCUGGGCAUUUCAUCAGCUCAUUAUACUGGAGAUUUGGAAGAUCAAAGAAAGAGGAUACAUUGCAUAGGUAUGUAAAUUUCAUCUGUCUUUUGAAGGACCAACAAUUCAUCAAGAGAAGAAGAAGUGGUUGUACAUUUUGGUAUGCAGAAAUAGAAAGUAAACCUAAGUAAGGAAACUUACAUUUCUAAAUAACUACAACCUUAUUUAAAUUGACAUUUUCUAUUAUUUCCCAACAUUAUGGAAAGAAAUA
rnacentral:lncRNA from 12 species